AAAAGGAUUGGGAUCAGCAAUGGAUUCAAAGCAAAGCCAUUGACCAGCUUCAUGUUUAGACAGUUGAGAGCUAUACUAAACAGAUCCUCUGUAAACUCAGUCCAAAAUAAUGAAGGAAAGAGGAAAUGUUAGGGAACACGGUGACAGUGGUGGACUCAGGCCUGGCUUCCUGAUGUUAUACGACUUGCAUGACUCAUCCAACUGCAGCUGUCUUAGCAGGAAAGGGAGAUUUUGAAGCAAUGUAACACUAAGUACUUCUUGAGAGGGGGUUUGCCAUUGCCUUCUAAUGAGACUGAGAGAAUGUGACUUGCACAGGGUAAACCAGUGAAUUUCCAUGGCUGAAUAUGCACAUGUGCUCAGAUCAGAUCAGCAUGGUGAGGAGAUCAAAGAUUUUGGGAGUCUCCCUGGAAAGAGAGACCUGUGCCAGACCCAGAAAGAAGGCUGCGCAGUACCUGGAGAGCUUGCAAGAAGCAAAAUGAAGAUUUCCCUAUUCCCAAUAAAAGGCUCACCAAGUUUGAA